rnacentral:rRNA from 1 species
UACAGAGGUCUCAAGCGUUGUUCGGAUUCAUUGGGCGUAAAGGGUGCGUAUGGCGGCGCGGUAAAGUCGGGUGGUGAAAUCUUCGGAGCUUAACUCCGAAACUGCGAUUCGAUACUGCCGUGCUUGAGGACUGGAGAGGAGACUGGAAUUUACGGGUGUAAGCGGUGAAAUGCGUAGAUAUCGUAAGGAACGACCAGUGG